rnacentral:rRNA from 1 species
AGAGUUUGAUCAUGGCUCAGACAACGCUGGCGGCAGGCUUAACACAUGCAAGUCGAACGCGUGUAGCAAUACACGAGUGGCGCACGGGUGAGUAACGCGUGGAUAUCUGCCUUUUGGUUCGGAAUAACUCCGGGAAACUGGAGCUAAUACCGGAUGGUUCCUACGGGAUAAAGAUUUAUCGCCAAAAGAUGAGUCCGCGUACGAUUAGCUAGUUGGUGAGGUAAUGGCUCACCAAGGCGACGAUCGUUAGCUGGUCUGAGAGGACGAUCAGCCACACUGGGACUGAGACACGGCCCAGACUCCUACGGGAGGCAGCUAGUGGGGAAUAUUGGACAAUGGGGGCAACCCUGAUCCAGCCAUGCCGCGUGAGUGAUGAAGGCCUUCGGGUUGUAAAGCUCUUUUGGCGGGGACGAUGAUGACGGUACCCGCAGAAUAAGCCCCGGCUAACUUCGUG